UAUGGCUCAGGACGAACGCUGGCGGCGUGCUUAACACAUGCAAGUCGAACGAGAAUCUACUGAAAGAGUUUUCGGACAAUGGAUGUAGAGGAAAGUGGCGGACGGGUGAGUAACGCGUGAGGAACCUGCCUUGAAGAGGGGGACAACAGUUGGAAACGACUGCUAAUACCGCAUGACGCAUAGAGGUCGCAUGAUCUUUAUGCCAAAGAUUUAUCGCUUCAAGAUGGCCUCGCGUCUGAUUAGCUGGUUGGCGGGGUAACGGCCCACCAAGGCGACGAUCAGUAGCCGGACUGAGAGGUUGAACGGCCACAUUGGGACUGAGAUACGGCCCAGACUCCUACGGGAGGCAGCAGUGGGGAAUAUUGGGCAAUGGGCGCAAGCCUGACCCAGCAACGCCGCGUGAAGGAAGAAGGCUUUCGGGUUGUAAACUUCUUUUAAGAGGGAAGAGCAGAAGACGGUACCUCUAGAAUAAGCCACGGCUAACUACGUGCCAGCAGCCGCGGUAAUACGUAGGUGGCAAGCGUUGUCCGGAUUUACUGGGUGUAAAGGGCGUGCAGCCGGGUCUGCAAGUCAGAUGUGAAAUCCAUGGGCUCAACCCAUGAACUGCAUUUGAAACUGUAGAUCUUGAGUGUCGGAGGGGCAAUCGGAAUUCCUAGUGUAGCGGUGAAAUGCGUAGAUAUUAGGAGGAACACCAGUGGCGAAGGCGGAUUGCUGGACGAUAACUGACGGUGAGGCGCGAAAGUGUGGGGAGCAAACAGGAUUAGAUACCCUGGUAGUCCACACUGUAAACGAUGAAUACUAGGUGUGCGGGGACUGACCCCCUGCGUGCCGCAGUAAACACAAUAAGUAUUCCACCUGGGGAGUACGAUCGCAAGG
rnacentral:rRNA from 1 species